CACACUUCGUAACGAACGUUCGAAGAAGGAAUAUCGUUCUCGUUAAUUGUUCCGAAUCACUGAAAGAUAUUUCUUAAAAUUUUUCAGUCUAUAUAUAUAUAUAUAUCUAUCUAUCUAUAUAUCUAUAUAUCUAUUUAUAUAUAUACAUAUAUAUAUAUAUAUAUAUAUGUAUAUAUAUAUAUACAUAUAUAUUAAUAAAUCGUGUAAUUGGUAUCAUAGAAACGAAUCGAUCUCAAAUUAAUAAGGUGAAACAAUUUGAACGACCAAUCGUUCGUUUUACAAAAGUAUCCUUAUUUUUUCGCGCCUAAUCAAAAAAAAAGGAGUGAGAAAAGUGAGGCGGAAAAAUGGUGUCCGGCACUAUGGCUUGCGUGAAAUACCUGCUAUUCCUUUUCAACUUGAUAUUCGCGAUUACCGGUAUCGUCUUCAUAUCCGUGGGCGCAGUAAUAUUGGUCGUUUACAGUGGUUACAAAAACUUCGUCGACAGCUGGUUCUUCGCUGCACCUGUUUUAAUGAUAAUCGUUGGCAUUGUAGUCUUCCUGGUGUCGUUCUUUGGUUGUUGCGGAGCAAUAAAGGAAAAUCAUUGCAUGUUGAUAACAUACUCGGUCUUCUUGAUGAUUAUUUUUGCACUGGAAUUGGGUGCAGGCAUUUCAGGCUACGUAAUGCGUAAUGAGGUGGAUUCGAUGUUGCUUAAUCGUAUGAAUACAACCUUUUAUCAAUACAAAAGCGAUGAAAACAUUCGUAAAUCCUGGGACAUCAUGCAAUACGACUUACGAUGCUGCGGUAUAGAGAAUCCAGGAGAUUGGGCCAAACUUAAUUACACGGAUAAUAUAAUACCGGAUUCUUGUUGUACGGAAAUUUCUGCCGGUGAUAAAUGUGAUUCGAAUUCGGUUCAUUCCAAUGGUGAUGGCUGUAUGUUCAAGUUACAACAGACCAUUAAGUACAAUUCUUUGGCUUUAGCAUCCGUUGGUAUAGGAAUUGCUCUUACUCAGUUGAUCGGAGUAACCUUUGCGUGCUGUUUGGCUCGCUCAAUUCGUCGCGAGUACGAGACUGUGUAAGCUGUCAGACACAAAUUUUAAUUGCAACAUGCCUAACAUGCACUUUUUAUAAAUACUGUUCUGUUACACUGGUUACAUCACCCUUAUCUUUGUUAUCUUAACUAUGUAUAACUUACAAUUUCGGUGCACAAUUUACACAUCAAGAGUGUAUUCUUUUUUAUUGCUUAUCUUACUGACACACUGCGUUAAAUAUUUUAUCUCUUUAAAAGGAUUGAUCAAUUUAAAAUACAUGUUGAACUGAUGGUAUUGGUGUACUAAGUACGAAAUUGAUACUAUUUUUGGUAAUUGGGCUUUCUCUAUAGUCAUAAAGAUCUUUUCGUAUGUUUUAUAUAUAUACAUUUUUACAUUAAAUUUAGAACAUUUAAAGACUUUAUAUGUAUAAUAAUCUAUCACUAUACAACACAUUGUUUUUGUAAAUCCUAUAAAUUUGCACUGUAGGUAACAACUAUAUAUAUACGUAAUACCUAAUCGUAUAUACAUUCAGCUUUGUAAUGCUGUUAUAGCCGAGCCAUGGGUAACGUGAUUUAAAAAAUGAUAUAUAACAUAUCAAUAUAAGUUCGAAUAUUAUGUUAACAAAAAAAGAAAAAUCAAUUGCAAAAUUUCCAAAGAAGUUUGAAGAACUCUUGGCUAAGCAAAUAUUCGUCUUAAGGAAUGGCGUAAUUUAUGUUAAAUGAUGGCAAGGUCAUCAUUUUUGUCAUCAUUUUAUUUUUUUCCUUUUUUAAUUUCUUUUCUUAUUUAUUAAAAGAUAUAAUUUUAAAUCUGAAAAGGAGUAAAGUGAAGCAAAUGUAAUCUAUGUUAAAAGCAAAAGCUUUAUUCUCUCGCAUGAAUACAUGUCUAUAUAGAUUAUUUAUUAGGGCUCCACUAUAAUAAUGCUAGUCUAUUUGGUUUUCACGAUUUAAGCAUUGAUUAUGUAAGUACUCAAGAAAAAACUGUACAGUUUUAAAUGUAUCUGUGAUUGAAAAUCAUAAUUAAGUAAAUUAUUUCUUGGUACAUUCGUUUGCUUUAAUACAAAUGAACAAAGAUUUUGAGAUUAACAGGUAUAUAUCUCCCCUCUUUGUCUACACAGAAAAUACACAAGUAUAAUAGAUUUAGCGCGAGUAUUUGCAUAUUGAAAUGCCGUGUAAAACGGUACAAUAUAUGCGUGAAUUACAAUUAAGAAUUACUAUUUAUCUAUUAUUAAGAUGUUUUGUUGUUUAUUACGGUGUAAAGUUUACGUAGUGUUAUAAUUAUGAUUAAUGGCCAUAUCCUACAUAGUGAAUAUACAACGUCAGGUUCAAAUAAUUAUUUUAUCUUUAGCACUUUGUAGUGAUAUAUAUAUAUAUAUAUAAAACUAAUUGAUGAAAACAAUUUCUACAUAGUGCAGAUAAAAUGACACAACAAAGUCAAUGCCAAUCUGUUCAUUGUUAUAGAGCGAAAGGUCUGUCGACUUUGGACACUGCUGCGAAACCACAGCACACUGAUCUGCCAUCAGUUAAGGGGCAUUUUUCAUAAUAUUGUUCAUCAUACAUUGGCAGAAAGAUAUUUAUAGUUCCAUUGCGAAUAUGACCAUUUUUAUUAAUUAUUAAAAUGCUUAAAAAUGUAUAGCAAAGAGGAAUGAUGUUAAAAUUGUGUUAAAAUAACUUUUCUAUACACGUAAUGUAAAAGAGAAAAUAUAUCUUGGAAAGGUUUAUUAUUGAAAACCUAUUUUCUGAUUUCACUUUAUAAAGAAUUCUCUAACAAAAAUGAAAUGAUUUACUGCCAUUACAUGCCAAAAAUACCAAAGAGAGCGCAGCGACUAUAAAAAUAUAUAUACAACAAUUUUUCUCUCUUAUUUUUUUCUUUUUUUAUGUAUAAUACAAGAAGACCAUCGUAAUGGAACAAAAAAAAAAAAAAGAAGAAAAAAAAAGAAAAAGAAAUAAAUAAAUAAGAAUAAAAAAAUUAUUAAAAAAGUGUUAAAAAAAAAAAAAUGAGCGAUAAUGACAAUUAAUAUAAUCGAUGUGCCAUGUGUUGCAGCCAUGAUGUAAAAAUAAUUAUUACAAAAGAGAUUUCUCAUCUAUGUACAAUAUGUCUUCGCUCCUUGUAAAAGCAUAGAUAUUAACAUUAUAAAUGUGAGCUGCUUAAUUUUAGUGCUCGCAAUAGCUCUACAACCAUCAUUCCUCUUUAAUUUAUUAUCAUAUAUAAAAAGAAACAAUAAGCUAUUUUUGCCUAAUCUUCCCUCUAACAGUACAAUGUGGAUUGGUUAUCAAAGAUUUACUUGCAGAGAAAAGCUUGUGUUCUAAUACUCAUUAUUAUGCAAAAUGGCUUAUUGCUUCUACUAUAUUUAAAUAUGAAUGAUAUAAAACAUGGCAUACUUUCUUUGUAUGCCCUCUCGGUAAAAAAGAAUACCUUUUUUUUUAACAACUCUUUAUUUAAAUAGAAUUAUCAAAUGUUGCAGCAGUCUUACAUGUACCAAAUUCGUAUAAUGAUAUCAUAUUUAUUCUAGAAAUGUGCGUACUUUUAUUCGUAAUCGACAAAAUAUUCCAAGAGAUAUAUAUAUAUAUAUACAUAUAUACAUAAUAUAUAUAUAUAUAUAUAUAUAUGUAUAUAAAUAAAUAAUGUGUACACAAUAUCUCUCCCCCAUAUCGAUUCUUAAUGCGCAAAUUAACGAAUAUAAAUAAUUGAUGUACCUUGAUAUUUAGUUUCAAUGAUAUAUACAUUGUCAAUUUGUCAAUAAUGAAAUCCUUUGUGUUAUUAAAUAUAUUAAAAUAUUCUAUUCCACGUGUUCUAUACCACUACGGUUGUAUUAUUAAAAAAAAAAAAAAGAAAAAAAAAAGAGAAAAAAGAGAAAAGAAAAGAAAAAAAGAAAAAGAAAAAAGAAAAAAACAGAAACAAAAAAAAUUCAAAAAGAAUUGCUAUAAAAGAAACCUUUCGUCUCGAUUUUGCGAAUCAAAGUACUUGCAAUCAAUAUCAUAAUAUUAUCUAUUAUUUCUUGAAAUCUUGUAUUAUUGACAAGAAUAAAUUGAAACUAGGACAGUUAUUGUUAACGACAAGUUAUGUUAAUGAUGAUGAUGAUGAUGAUAUAUACAUAUGGUACUUGAAAAUUUGCUACAAUAUUCUUUCACAAUUUGAAAAAUUACAAUGACAUAAUUAUUUAAUGUAAUUGUACAACAACGAGAGAGUUGUAAAAAGAUUCAAAGUGAUAUUUGUAUCAUGUAUGUACGUACGUUUUAAAAUGCACUCUGGUAGUAUUAAAUAUGCUCAGAAUGGAUAUAAAUAAAACAUUCUUAGAUAAUUGUAUUCACAGUAUAUUAUAAACUAACUAGCUAAGAGAUAUAUAUGAUUAAAGUGUGCCUAACUUAUAGAAAGAGAGAAGACAUAUGUUAUAAAUGAUUAAUAUAGAAAAAAAAAAAAAAAGUUUUAGUGUCACUUAACUGUCUUGCGCAACAUAGCUUGUCCAAAACUGGCACUUGUCCAAAGUUCGCUCCUUUUAAUUACAAUAAUCAUCAUUUUUUUUUUUAUAAAUCUAAAUUAGAUUCUUGAUAUACAUUGAUUAUUGGGCAAGAGAUAAGACUGAUAAAGAUUAUUGUAAUCAGUAUUAAUGAGAGCAUUGGUAUUUUACAUAUAUUAUACCGUAUUCUUACAAGAGAGUAAAUUUAUACUAAAUUAUAUAUUUUAUCUGCUUGUAUUUUUUUUUUCUUCUCUAUAAAAGUGUAAAUUAUAAAUUAGUCAAUAUUGAUAAAUUUGUAUUAAGAUAAUUCCAUUAUUUUAAUAUAACUUAUUAUUUUUUGGCAAUUUAGGAGCCAACGACAUAUCCUUAGCACAUAUUUGUCUAGCCUUUAUGUAUAUUAAUAAAUUAAUUACACUAAU